UACGGGGGGGGCAAGCGUUGUUCGGAAUUACUGGGCGUAAAGGGCGCGUAGGCGGUUGGAUAAGUCAGCUGUGAAAACCACGGGCUUAACUCGUGGCCUGCAGUUGAGACUGUCUGGCUUGAGUGUGGGAGAGGAGAGUGGAAUUCCUGGUGUAGCGGUGAAAUGCGUAGAUAUCAGGAGGAACACCGGUGGCGAAGGCGGCUCUCUGGACCACAACUGACGCUGAGGCACGAAGGUCAGGGGAGCAAACGGG
rnacentral:rRNA from 1 species